rnacentral:ncRNA from 2 species
AUUAAUGGUAGAGGAGCGGGUAUUAAUAGUAUGUACUUUGAGUCGGCCAGACUGUGAAAGGUACAAAAAGGAGUAACCGCCGAAGUGAAGGUUUUUAGCCAAAACGCUUUGCUGGGCCUAUGGUGAAUAAUUAUAGGACUGUCACCCUAAACUAAGGGUGGAGCACUAUUUCGUAA